UGAUGUGUUAGGAGUUUAUCAUUACAUGCCAUUCAUUGUCUUCCUAAGAAAUACAGUAUUUUGCUAAAUAAAUUGUGAUGCACAUUAAAAAUGGAUACAAAGUCUAAAAGAGGUAAAGAUGUUUCUUCCUAACUUAUCAAGGAAAGGUUCCUAGAUGAAAGAAUAUCAAUAAAUAAAUUUAAAAUCGGUGGCAUAAUGUAUAGCCACGUAGAAAAUUAGCUUUUACCCAAAACACAUGUGGCUCAAAUUUUAGCCCCACUGUGCUAAGAUUAAAGGCCACCAGGGUAAAUGUUCUUUUUUGCUUAAAAUUACACUAAAUUGUUGGUCUUCUCUGCUGGACUAUACACUCCUCAAGGAUAGCAACCAUAUCUUAUUUACCUUUAUGCACUUCUUAUCAAAAGAGAAAUAACUUAGGCCUGAAUUGAGGAAACUAUUUCUAUGUCUAUACCCAUCAGAUGUGGCUAAAGAAGAGACACAACUAGAUGUUAGAAAUGUUGCUACACAUUUAUUUAGGAAGGGUGAAAAUCUCCAGUAAUUUUAAUUAGACAGACUACUGUCUAUGUAAAAGCUUGACUGUUACCCAAAGGCAAAGAAUGGCAACCCUUCACUUACUGAGUUUUUUUUUUUUCUACCUCUAAAACUAUAACAUCAAAAACUAUAAGGAAGACAAUGACCGUAACAUUUCUUACAAUGCUCUUAUGUCAUCAUAAUGUAACCAGCUCCCUUGAGAGUUCAGCACUCCAGCAUUUUUAGUGGCUGAAAUAAUGAAAAUUCUAAUUAGGCUUUGCUUGCUUGCUGCACAAAAGCCAACAUCCCUUGUUUCCACAGUAUAAACUGCUGAUGUACUGUUUCUUUGCCAAGCAGGAGGAGGUGACUUCAGGGUCAUGAAAAAGAUUUGCAGAAGGAAUGGACAUGGCGACCAGCUGCUGAUACUCAAGGGUCUGGUUGCUCAAGAUGUUUUCUGAGACUGAAGACACACAGACUUUUCCCCUCGCUUCCCUGAAACUCCCCCUCCCUUAACUCUCUAGCCACAUAAAAAUUCCCCGCUUCUUUUUGUUUAGAGGGAUUUGAGAGAUCUUGCCUUCUCAUGUUGGCCAAAUUGAAGAAAGCUUUUUCUCCAAGCAGUUGUUUGCCAGUGUUUGGUGUUAACUGCACAUCAGGUUCAUAAUUUAUGGUGGAUAACUUAUAAGCAAAUAAUUAAAGAUCUACAAAAGUAAAUUCAUUGAUUGAUUGAAUUGGGUUGUGCACAAAAAAGGAAAAUAAAAGAAUUUAAGGGUGUUUUCCUGACUUUCCUGAUGGAUGACCUUGCUAAAAAUUCCAGGCGACGCUGGUAUCCAGAGAGGGUUCUGUGUGAAAAGAGAUUCCAUGAGACAAAUGGAAGAACAAGGAGAGGCGAAAGGAACAAUAGAGGUCUUUCAGAAGCAGGUCAACAAACAUUGAUGCAGCAUUUUCUUUGUGCGUGUUGAAGUAACAAUGAGCCUCAGAACUUCUAAUAAGCAGCAUAAUUGCCAUGUGGAGAAGGCUACAUUAUACAACACCAAUUUCUCUCUGAAGAUCCACCACCUCCGGAUGAAUGUUACUGAUUCCUACUGUCUAUUUCAUAGAUCUUCAACUCUUGUUCUUUUGUUUAAAGAUAUGAGUCUAAGCUUAGACAUAUAUGAUGCUUUCAAUUCAAAAAUGUUGUUUAGAAAAGGCGCUCAUUUAAAGAAUUUGCUGAAAGCUAAAGGAUAACCAAAGCAAAAGGCACACACAGGGUAACAUAAAUCUAGAAUAUAUGUUUUGCCAUAUGUAUUUUUCUCAUUUCCAAUCUAUUGUUAAAUACAUGGCAUCCUCCUACCACACCCUUACUUCCACUAGGCAGAGCAUCCAUUUAUUCUCUACCAUGCACAAGUCUUUGGCUUCAAAGUCAUAGGUUUCCAUGGUUACAGUUCUUCAUUGGUGUUCUUAUUUUCCUCAGGUAACUGAUAUUAAACUGGACUUCCCUCUCUUGCUCAAACCUCUGAGGUCCUCAUAGGCUAGAUUAUCAUCAAUAUAAUAUGACAACCUUAAGAUUCAUAUUAAACACAAACACUCUUGGUAAUUGGAAGGGAGAAAGUGAGAGGGAGGAGUCUUGAAAGAGAAUAUUGUUUCAUUACCUUUUCUUUCAAUUUUUGGGUAGCUUUUAUGGUCGUAAAGUAGCCUUUGGGAAAAAAUAUUGGAGACACUUGCAGUUUUAAGGCUUUAUCAAUGUCUGGUAAUGUGAUGUGGAGAUGAUAGAGCUUAAAUGUGAUGUGUUAAGCCACUGUUUCAGCACAUUUAAGCCAUGACUAAAAAGAGAAUUAUGAAUAUACCUGUAAAAAAGGAUAGAUGAGAAAUAAAGAAGUGUUGAAGCAUUCGGAUGACUAGUGAAGGAAAUCUCUUAGUCUAAAUUGGUCUGAUAGUCUUAAAAUGUGGAAUAGAACGUGGAGAAGAGUCCAUAACUAUCGAGCCAUAAGAGUGUAAUACAUACUAGAAGGGUAUUUGGGGGCUCAGGAGGAGGUGGGGAUGGUUAGCAGGUACAAAAUAAAAUAGAGUGAAUGAAUAAGACCUACUAUUUAACAGCACCAUAGGGUGACUAUAGUCAAUAAUAACUUAAUUGUACAAUAACUUCUACAAUUUUAAAAUAACUUAAAGGAUGUAAUUGGAUUGUUUGGAAUUUGAAGGAUAAAUGCUUGAGGGGAUGAAUAACCCAUUCUCCUGAAUGUGCUUAUUUCACAUUGCAAGCCUAUAUCAAAACAUCUCAUGUACUCCAUAAAUAUAUACACCUACUAUGUACCCAUAAAAUUUAAAAAAAUGAUAACUCAUUCUGCAAUUAAUGACAACCAAAUAUGUGGACUAAGAGAGAAAUGAAGUAGCAUAGCAAGGACUCCUGGAAAUUCUUGAAAGCAAAAUGCAAAAAUCUUAACAAAUUGAAAAAGCAUCCCAAAAACAGUUACUGAAAUUAUAACACAGAGUUUAUACAAAUUUUAAUUGGUCUUUAUAUAGAAUUAUGAACAUCAUAAUUGGUGAGAAAGACAAGCAAGAUUGAAAUUUUCAUAAGCAUUUGAAUAACUCUUAAAUCUCAGACAUUGACAGCAAAUUGACUUCAGAGAUAUGACAAGAAACAGCUGGAGCUGAAGCAGCAGGGCUGAGGAGCUCCAAACAAAGAAAAAGGAUAAAAUGGAAUUACUCUCAGAGCCCUUAGGGCAAGAUCAAAGCUCCGCUUUAGUUCACUCCAUCUAAUAAUCUUAGAAUAUAACAACAUGAAAAUGUGACUUGUGACUAGGAAACUGAGAACUGUAAAUGAUGUUAAUAAAAAUACAAGCUGAUCUGUUUGGGGAGAUAAGAGGGGGGUUGUAGAUUUUAUUUUUUGGUUGUGAAAAUAGAAAUAGGGUUUAAAUAUAUUUUUGCCUUCUUCAAACAAUACUGAAGAGUGAAAGAAGAGGUAGUCUUGUAAACCAGUGGUUAAAAACCAUAGCUAUUCUAUCCUACGUCUUCACUAUCAUUCUAAGUGGAUUGUAUGAGAAAUGAGGGGGGGGAAAAAGUACUAUUUUCCAGUUAAGGCUCUCAUUUGUGUAGUCACUCACAAAGCCCUGGUCCUAUUUCCAAGUGGCCAAUGACUUUUGAAUCUUUCAUCUUUACAGUUCAGUUUGAUUUCUCCUUCAUUCAUCGAAACCACCUUACCUCAAAUAUGACCACCCUUGUUUAAAUCCCUCCUUAAGGGUAUGACAUAGCAUCACUAUAUCUGAUUUUCUUGUAAUUCUUAGAGAAAAUUAUAACUAUCACAGGCCUUUUCCCCUAAUUCUUACCCAACUCUCAAGACCUUAGGUCCAGAACUUAGAAUAUAAUCUAGUGCCUUUGCCAAAUGGUAUAGAUGUCCUUCUUCUCAUUAGUUUUUUCAAAAACAAUGGUGAAAAUCUCAAAAAAUAUGCCCCUUCAAUGAGAGGUAAUUGUUUACUUUGAAGUAAAUGGUCAUUCAUGAUACAUCUCUAAAUUACCUUCAGAACGUGUUUCUCAGAACUAAUGUUAUAUGUAGACAUGUAGGCCAGGCAUAGUAGCUCACACCUGUAAUCCCAGCACUUUGGGAUUCAGAGGCAGGUGGAUCUCCUGAGAUCACGAGUUCGAGACCAGCCUGGGUGACAUGGCGAAACCCUGUCUCUACGAAAAAUACAAAAAUUAGCCACAUGUAGUAGCCUCCCAAGUAGCCUGCUCCUGUAGUCUCAGCUACUUGGGAGGCUGAGGUAGGAGGACUGCUUGAGCCUGGGUAGUUGAGGUUGUACCACUGCACUCCAGCCUCAGUGACAAAGUGAGACCCUGUCUCAUUAAAAAAAAAAAAAAAAAAAAAAAAAGAAUCCAAAUGUAGAUAUGUAAUCAGCACCAAACUGCUGUAGCGUUGCCCUUCGAUUUCCAAUUUUCUGUGUUGUUGUGUGGACAUUUAUAAAAUUUGUUUCUGUGACUAAAGAACACAUAAAGGAUUUGCAAAAAUGGAAUGUCUUUUAUUGCACACAAUUCAUUGCUGCAAUGAUCUUUAUUUAUUUGAGAACAUGGUAACAAUAAUAAUAUAUUUCAACCAAAUGGUGGAGUGAUACAGGAAGUCUCUGUUUCAUUUUCUGGUAGAAUGAGACCACCUCAUUCUCAUCACACAGUCCAGGAUCCCUUAAGGAACAUUUUCUAGGCAGCUUUACUAGCCAACAUUCUGGUCCAAACAUGAAGUACAUGAACCUGCCUUGGGAAUAGUGGCUAUCCAGCCCCCCAGACAUUACACCAUGUGAUUUUGCGUCACCGCUGCCUUCAAUGAUUAUAAGCCAGAGGAUUUAUAUGGUCUUGUACUCUGACAUAAGCAGCACAUAUUUAUGAGAUUUUGGAAAUAACUGUGGUAACGUAUUUAAAAAUUGACUUUUGUCCCAUGUUCAUGUGUUCCUAAAUGACUUUGUUGAUGAGUAAUACAUUUUUGAAGAUACUCAAUUUUUUAUAAAUACUAUGUAUGUUAAAAUGUAAGUAUAUGCAGUGUAUGUACAAAUUGAGUUCUUAUGUGCUCAGCCCUGCACUGAGCAAAUUGACAUAUAUUAUCUCAUUUUAUUUUCAUAAAAAUACUAUGAGAAAAGGAGUCAUUGAUGCACAGAUAGAUUAAACAACUUGCCCAAAGUUACACAACUAGUUCAGAAGUCAUGAUGUUAUAUUAAAUGUAUCGGUAAAGAUAGGUGCUCGCUAGUGGGUGUUUCAGCACAAUUUCAUCACCAAGCCUUAUAACACUCAAAUUAGCAUUUGAUAUGGUUUGGAUAUUUAGCCCACCUCAGUCUCAUGCUACAAUGUAAUCAAUCCCCAAUGUUGGAGGUGGGGCCUGAUGGGAGAUGUUUGGGUCUUGUGGGUGGAUCCCUCAUGCCUGGGAGCUGUUCUCAAGAUCUCGAGAUAGUGAGUGAGUUCUCAGGAGAUCUAGUCGUUUGAAAGUGUAUAGCAUCUUCCCCUUCUCUCUUGCCUCCCUUCUGCCAUGUAAAGUGCCUGCUCCCACUUUACCUUCCACCGUGAUUAAAAGCUCCCUGAGGCCUCACCAGAAGCAGAGCAGAUGCUGGCACAGUGCUUCCUGCACAGUGUGCAGAACCAUGACAAUUAAACCUCUUUUCUUUAUAAAUUAUCCAGUUUCAGGUAUUUAUUUGUAGCAAUAUAAGAACCACCUAAUACAGCAGUCAACAUAAAAUUGUUGUUGUCUCAGUAUUAUGUUCUGUUUGUGUUCCCACAAAAUUAAUAUGCUGAAAUCCUAACUCACAAUGUGAUGGUAUUAGGAGGUAAUAUCUUUGGGAGGUGAUUAGUUCAUGAAGGUGGAGCUCUCAUGAAUGAGAUUAAUGUCCUUAUAAGAAAAAGUAUAUGAGAGAUGAUAUCCAGUCUUUCCCAUGUGAGACUACAACUAGAAGGCCAUCUGCAAAAAAAGGAGCUUUCACCAGACACCAUCUGCCAG
rnacentral:lncRNA from 1 species